rnacentral:rRNA from 1 species
GUCGCUACUACCGAUUGAAUGGCUCAGUGAGGCCUUCGGACUGGCUCAGGGAGGUCGGCAACGACCACCCAGAGCCGGAAAGUUGGUCAAACUCGGUCAUUUAGAGGAAGUAAAAGUCGUAACAAGGUUUCCGAAACGCAGUUAGGAACAGAUUCUUCUGUACAACACUUGCUGAAGCCUUAGCAGCCUGAAAGGGUAGAGUUACUACGACGUUAAAAAAAAAAAAAAAAAAAAAAAAAAAAAACUCUUCAAAUGCUAGUCUGCUCAUGGAGCAGGCAACACUAUCAAAUUGCGGGGACCCCCUAAAGACCUUAACACCAAGCGCCCACUGGAAACGGUGGCGUGGCCGAGCGAAUAGCCCUGGGUAUGGUAAUAGUUUUAAGGUAUGAAGUUGGCGUUUUGCCGACGGAAAUGGGCGAUCCGCAGCCAAGUCCUACGUCUUCGGAUAGGGAUGCAGUUCACAGGCCAAAUGGUAGUGGGUGGCCCGUGCGCGGGCUGCUUAAGAUAUGGUCGGGCCUUGUUGGAAACAACGAGGGCAACAAACCGUUCCGUAGGUGAACCUGCGGAAGGAUCAUUA